rnacentral:rRNA from 1 species
GACGAACGCUGGCGGCGUGCUUAACACAUGCAAGUCGAACGGAAAGGCCCUGCUUUUGUGGGCUGCUCGAGUGGCGAACGGGUGAGUAACACGUGAGUAACCUGCCCUAGACUUUGGGAUAACUUCAGGAAACUGGGGCUAAUACCGGAUCGGAGCUCCUGCUGCAUUGUGGGGGUUGGAACGUUUCGGCGGUUGGGGAUGGACUCGCAGCUUAUCAGCUUGCUGGUGGGGUAGUGGCUUACCCAGGCUUUGACGGGUAGCCGGCCUGAGAGGGUGACCGGCCACAUUGGGACUGAGAUACGGCCCAGACUCGUACGGGAGGCAGCAGUGGGGAAUAUUGCACAAUGGGCGGAAGCCUGAUGAAGCAACGCCGCGUGCGGGAUGACGGCCUUCGGGUUGUAAACCGCUGUCGCCUGUGACGAAGCGUGAGUGACGGUAAUGGGUAAAGAAGCACCGGCUAACUACGUG